ACUCAGAUAUAGAGGUAAUGUUACACUCCAUGGACUCAGAUAUAGAGGUAAUGUUACAGCCCCCUGGACUCAGAUAUAGAGGUAAUGUUACACUCCAUGGAAGUCACACACACACAAAACAUUAAGGCCAAAGUUUGUUGACAAUGGGACAGAUGGACAAAAGUAGAGUAAUACUUUCAUGACUGCACUGAGAUCAUCAGUACAUUUAUCAUUUAUGCUAUCAGUUUUACAAACACAUUUUCCCAGUUAGUUUUCUUCUGAUUAAUCAGCCUGUAUGUUUAACCCUCACUGUCAUUUUCUUCCCAGUGUAGAUAUGAUGUUAAUAGUCAGCAAAAUGUCUUUUGUAUUAUUUUAUUAUUGUAUUAUU